rnacentral:rRNA from 1 species
GAUGAACGCUGGCGGCGUGCCUAAUACAUGCAAGUCGAGCGAACAGACGAGGAGCUUGCUCCUCUGACGUUAGCGGCGGACGGGUGAGUAACACGUGGAUAACCUACCUAUAAGACUGGGAUAACUUCGGGAAAUCGGAGCUAAUACCGGAUAACAUGUUGAACCGCAUGGUUCAACAGUGAAAGACGGUCUUGCUGUCACUUAUAGAUGGAUCCGCGCCGCAUUAGCUAGUUGGUAAGGUAACGGCUUACCAAGGCAACGAUGCGUAGCCGACCUGAGAGGGUGAUCGGCCACACUGGAACUGAGACACGGUCCAGACUCCUACGGGAGGCAGCAGUAGGGAAUCUUCCGCAAUGGGCGAAAGCCUGACGGAGCAACGCCGCGUGAGUGAUGAAGGUCUUCGGAUCGUAAAACUCUGUUAUUAGGGAAGAACAAAUGUGUAAGUAACUAUGCACGUCUUGACGGUACCUAAUCAGAAAGCCACGGCUAACUACGUG